rnacentral:rRNA from 1 species
CGCCAUGACAAUCGGUGGUUUUUUUGCCCUCGUUC